rnacentral:rRNA from 1 species
AGAGUUUGAUCCUGGCUCAGGACGAACGCUGACGGUGUGCUUUAGGCAUGCAAGUCGAACGAGAAAGCCCUUCGGGGUGAGUAAAGUGGCGAACGGGUGAGUAACACGUGGGCAACCUGCCCCUCGCAGGGGGACAACCGGAGGAAACUCCGGCUAAUACCCCGUACGCUUGUUGGGUCGCAUGGCUCGGCAAGGAAAGGUAGCUUCGGCCAUCCGGCGAGGGAUGGGCCCGCGUUGCAUUAGCUAGUUGGUGGGGUAACGGCCCACCAAGGCGACGAUGCGUAGCUGGUCUGAGAGGAUGAUCAGCCACACUGGGACUGAGACACGGCCCAGACUCCUACGGGAGGCAGCAGCCAGGAAUCUUGGGCAAUGGGCGAAAGCCUGACCCAGCAACACCGUGUGGGCGACGAAGGCCUUAGGGUCGUAAAGCCCUGUUGAUAGGGACGAAGGGCGAAGGGUUAAUAGCCCCUAGCUUGACGGUACCUUUCGAGGAAGCCCCGGCUAACUACGUGCCAGCAGCCGCGGUAAUACGUAGGGGGCGAGCGUUGUCCGGAAUUAUUGGGCGUAAAGAGCGUGUAGGCGGUUCGGUAAGUCUGCUGUGAAAUCCUGGGGCUCAACCCUGGGCGUGCAGCGGAUACUGCCGGGCUAGAGGAUGGUAGAGGCGAGUGGAAUUCCGAGUGUAGCGGUGAAAUGCGCAGAUAUUCGGAGGAACACCAGUAGCGAAGGCGGCUCGCUGGGCCAUUCCUGACGCUGAGACGCGAAAGCGUGGGGAGCGAACAGGAUUAGAUACCCUAGUAGUCC